CCUCUAGGCGACAAAGGCUGUGGUUCCUCUUCCCAGCAGCCACAUGUACUGUAAGAACUCCUGCAAGAGGCAUGUGAAUCGUGGAGCUCCCAGACCAAUCUUCUGCUCCUGUUUCCACCAGCCCCCUCCCUGAGGGGCUCAGCAGGCCAUUAGAAAAGCUGAAGCCAAAAGGUGACAACAGAUGUUAUCAGAUCUUGGAGGCAUCUGAGGUUUAAUGAGGACUUUCCAGCAUUCCAGACUGCUGCCCUGCAAUGAAGCUCUGAGUCAUGGUCUUUGGGUCUAAGGAGUUGGCAACAAUGUGGAACCCCAGGACAGCCAACCUGACUAACCUUCACUCUGAGCAGAAUCCCAAAAGGAAUCUGGCCUGAAAUCAGAGCAAGCAUAGAGAAAGACUUGCUUGUUAAUGGAAACAGGAAAGGAGAAAAGGGUUUGCAACAAAUUGCAACAGACUUUCCACCAUUCUAAAGAACCCACCUUCCUUAUCAACCAAGCCCUUCUAUGUAGUGACUCCCACUCUAGCCUUUUGCCAGAAACAGAGCAUGUCAGUCUUGCUAGAAAAAUAAAGACAGGACCUCAGAAAAUGAGACCUGGAACAGUGAUACUCUCAAAACGGUCUAGUUGGAGAAUUAUGUCAGAAGGUCAGCCCAGCCCCCCAGUGAUCCCCUCCCGCAGGCCUGGAUUCCGGGUGUGCUAUAUCUGUGGCCGAGAAUUUGGGUCACAAUCAAUUGCCAUUCAUGAACCUCAGUGCUUGGAGAAGUGGCGGAUUGAAAAUAGCAAAUUGCCCAAGCACCUGAGAAGGCCAGAACCCUCCAAACCACAGCCUCUUGGGGGCACUGGGUCCUAUAAUCUUCAGGCAGUGAAUGAGGCAGCAUACCAAAGUUUCCAAGCUCAGCUGCUGCCCUGCGAAUCCUGUGGCCGCACAUUCUUGCCAGAUAGCCUUCUUAUUCACCAGAGAAGCUGCAAGCUAAAGGGUGAUAGGCCCAGAGCACCAAACCCCACCAGUUCUGAUGAUCCUGCUGGUCCCAAGAAAGCUUCUAGUGGCAUCCCAGCUCGACCAAAGACUCUCAUCUGCUACAUUUGUGGUAGGGAAUUUGGCACUCUGUCCCUUCCCAUUCAUGAGCCCAAAUGCCUGGAAAAGUGGAAAAUAGAAAAUGACCGGCUCCCCAGGGAGCAUCGCCGACCACUCCCACAGAAGCCCCAGACACUUUCAACUGGACUGUCCAACCAAGAAGGGUCAACUCAAGCACAGCUGGUGCCCUGUCCAAAUUGCUGCCGGACCUUUGCCCCAGACCGCCUUCCAGUACACCAGAGAAGCUGUAAAGCUCAACCUAGUGGGCAAAAAAUUCAGAAUUUGACUUUAGGGAGUAAAGGUGGCCUAAAAGAGUCCACUAAUUCCAAGCAACCAAGGAACAUGGCAGCACCCACUGUGACUGAUAAGUGGCCCCAAUUCACCUCAGCUGUGUUGAUGUCAUGAGACCAGUAUUGACCUCACAAACUGCCCCCUGAUGAUGCUGACAUUUGAACUACUAAUGUCCAGCUCUGUGUGCCAUGUCUUCAUCUUUCCUUGAUGCCAACCAUGCCUGCAUAUCAGGGAAGCAUGCUUGGAUCCCAUGGCUCUCAGGUGUACCAAGCACAACUGUGAGUGCUACUUACACACUUAUUGGAAAAGGUCAUUUCAUUCCACUGAAGUUUCGUGCAGCUCAGCUUAACUGGGUCUUCCCAUUAUUCGCCAACAAUGAUAAGGCGUCCACCAACAGUUGUUUGCUACAUUUGUGGUCGUGAAUAUGGAACAAAAUCUAUUGCCAUCCAUGAACCACAAUGUCUGAAAAAGUGGCAUAAUGAAAACAACUUGUUACCUAAAGAGUUAAGGAGAUCAGAACCUAAAAAACCAGAAGUCAGGACCAUUACUGCUAAAGGUUUCUAUGAUCUCGAUGCCUUAAAUGAAGCUGCUUGGACCAGUGCCCUGAGCCAGUUGGUUCCCUGUAAUAUUUGUGGGCGUACCUUCCUGCCAGACAGGCUGAUUGUUCACCAACGAUCCUGUAAACCCAAAGUCGCCAAGUAAAGCCCUCUCUCCCAGC